CUUAUGUCAAGACUGGAGAUCACACUACUGAUUUCAGUUCAUUUAAUAUGUGAGUGCACAGAUUCAUUCUCAGCUAGACAUAAAUGAUGAUCAAAGGUUGUAUAUAUGAUGAAUUCAUCAAAUCCCAGCCUCUAACACAGUGCGCUGAAUCUUAGCUUUGGAUGUCCAGUAUAUUCUAAUCAGUGCAAUUUAAGCAUUCACUGAACCUACAAUAUCUACACCUGUGUGGCAAAUAUGUGGUAAAGAUACAGAUAAUGAAGUUUAAUUAUUAAUACAAUAUACAUCAUGAGAAACGAAAGCUGAAAUUGAUUCAGUUUAGUACUUUUCUCUGUAUGUUCUGUGAUUAUAAAGGCCUUAAAUUCUGUGAUAUAUACUGUAAAUGAUUUUCACAGAGGUCUUAAAGUACUUAAAUCACUGCUGAUAGUCUGGUUGUUUAUAUUUUCACGUUUUUGUGUCUGUAGGGCUGUUUGAUGACGAUUUGGACUCCUCUGGGUGAUGAGGACACACCCACAUCUGUUCCAUACUGCAGCCAUGGAUGGUGUUACAGCUCUGAGUCCGCUUUGGGCCAUCAGAUGCACACACUGGAAAACCAGCGCCUGUACUUCAUGCAGGAGAGAUGACCUCAGUGAUAAUUCAUCAGCAGCUGUGAAGAGAUGUAUUUGAAUAUCUUCUGGUUCCACUUUUCUUAACCUGGAAGCUGAGGAUGGCUAAUUCCUGACAAGGACACACACCUCAGCGCUUAUCAUGGGUGUUACAUCCUCUGCGCAGCAAUUCCAGAGAAAACGAGAGAGCAACGACCACACAUUAAGACCAGACAGAAAUCUGUCCCUUUCUGGCAGCUGUGGAAACUUCCAAUAAGAAAGUUUGCAUUCUUAGAACAAUGCUGGGUCAUGUGUGAUGUGUCAUUAUAUGAGGAUAUUACAUUUUAACUUAAUUCUGCUCAAUUAAGUGUUUUGUUCGUUGAUCCAAUAUGGCAGCUUUUAUUGUGCUCCAAGUUAAAACUCAUUGUCCUCAUGAGCACAGCAUCUAAC
ensembl:lncRNA